GCAUCAUGCUCUAAAACAAUACACGAUUUCCAACGACAUUUGCGUUAAAUUCGUAUUAAUUUACUUGAUACAUUACUUGAUUUUCUGUAGCUGAAAAUGAAGCUACUCGUGUUUCUAUUAAAGGUAUGACUUCAUCAUCGCGAUAUUGUUUUCAAACAUCAUUCAUGUUUCCAUGUUUGGCCAAGUGCGACAGAUAAUGUGGAUGUUUAACUGAUUAAACGGUUUACGGUGGCUACACCUUAGAAAGAUUCUCGGAGAUAAGAUGAGCGAUAAGAUGAUACAAACAAUUACAAGAAAAAAAGAAGUGCAAGGUUCAGUUUCAAAUAAAAACGUAACCACAGUGACAAUAAUAAAUUCAAAAAAUCAUUUUCAUAUGUAUGCAAUGUAUCAAAUAAUUUUUUGUUACUUUAAUUAUUAGUUUCAUUCAGCGAAGUAUACCAAUAUCAGAAACGAUAAAUGCAUAUUAAUAUAAAAUACUUUCACGUUAUUUAAAUUACACGUUACAUUAUAUUUGUGUAAGUUUCACGUUACAUUAUGUAUUACGUGUAUUAAACGUAUCUUAGUUAACGCAACUCGUUUCGUUUCAUCAGAUUUUGAAUAAAUUUCCAUUCGAAUACAAAAUCACACGCUUUUCCAUCAUUAAAAUGCGAUCGUAUCUAUACAGGGUGUCCCAAAAAUGUUGGGACACCUUGAAAGGGGUGGUUCGGGAGGUGAUUUGAAACAACUUUUUCCUUUGCAAAAAUGUCGGAUGGGGCUUCGUUAAGUAGAUAUUAAUAAAAAAAAACCGACCAAUCAGAGCGCGCGGAUACCGCUGGAGCGGCCGCGGUAGCGAAGGCUACGCGCUGAGCGGCCGCGUCAAUAUCCUUCGAUGCACGUCGAGUGACUAGCUCGCGUACGAGAGCGGCUACCUAGCGCGUAGCCGUCGCUAUCGCGGCCGCUCCAACGGUAUCCGCGCGCUCUGAUUGGUCAGUGUUUUCCGUUAAUAUCUCCUCAA